CAUAAGAAGAAGAAGAAAAAAA
rnacentral:sRNA from 1 species